CCGUCUUUUUUUCAAGUGAAAAAUGGUAAUCUUACAUAUGUUUGAUGUAGUUUUUUCAUUUUUUAUGUUGUAUGUUUACAUAUUAUUUAUAAUUUUCGAAAAUUAGUAAUAUUAAAAUGUAAAACUAUAUUUUAUGCCACGUGUCAUAUUUCGGGAGAAGUUUUUUUUGCUUAUGUGGACGCUCUAUUGAGCCUCAAAAUGUCCCUUUUAUUAGUAAAAGUAAAACUAUAUUUUAUGCCACGUGUCAUCUUUCGGGAAAAGUGUUUUUUGCUUGUGUGGACGCUAUACGGAGCCUCAAAAGGUCCCUUUUAUUAGUAUAGAUUUAAAUGUAAAAUGGUAAUCUUACAUAUGUUUAAUGUAGUAUUUCUAUUUUAAUGUUGUAUGUUUUACAUAUAUUUAUUAUUUUUGAAAUUAUAUAUAAUGUUUUUUGUUUUUUUUUAUAAAACGGUAAUGUUACAUUAUGGAGAUAAGCCGUCUUUUUUUUAAGGGAAAAAUAGUAAUCUUACAUAUGUUUAAUGUAGUUUUUCCAUUUUUUUAUGCUGUAUGUUUACAUAUUUUUUACAAUUUUCGAAAAUAAGUAAUAUUAAAAUGUAAAACUAUAUUUUAUGCCACGUGUCAUCUUUCGGGAGAAAUUUUUUCCGCUGAUGUGGACGCCCUAUGGAGCCUCAAAAGCUCCCUUUUAUUAGUAGAGAUUUUCGAAAAUAAGUAAUAUUAAAAUGUAAAACUAUAUUUUAUGCCACGUGUCAUCUUUCAGGAGAAAUUUUUUCCGCUGAUGUGGACGCCCUAUGGAGCCUCAAAAGCUCCCUUUUAUUAGUAGAGAUUUAAAUGUAAAAUGGUAAUCUUACAUAUGUUUAAUGUAGUAUUUCUAUUUUAUUGUUGUAUGUUUUACAUAUAUUUAUUAUUUUUGAAAUUAUAUAUAACGUUUUUUGUUUUUUUUAUAAAACGGUAAUGUUACAUUAUGGAGAUAAGCCGUCUUUUUUUUUAAGGGAAAAAUAGUAAUCUUACAUAUGUUUAAUGUAGUUUUUCCAUUUUUUUAUGUUGUAUGUUUACAGAUUUUUUACAAUUUUCGAAAAUAAGUAAUAUUAAAAUGUAAAACUAUAUUUUAUGCCACGUGUCAUCUUUCGGGAGAAAUUUUUUCCGCUGAUGUGGACGUCCUAUGGAGCCUCAAAAGCUCCCUUUUAUUAGUAGAGAUUGGGAAUCUUUCGAUUCAUGAACAUUUAAGAAAUGGAAUAUUUUAAAGAAGAGAAAACGAAGUUAGUAGUGGAAAGACACGUCUUCCUGAUCUGGAAGAUUUUACUCUACUCGAUCUUAUUCCUCUUACAUUAUUUCAGGAUAUAUACCCAUUAUUAACGACUUUUUUUUUUUUUGCUUUUAAUCGCGGUAUAAUGACUAAAUAGUGAAUAAAAGGUUUGGAAACCACGAAGUUUGAUCAGACUUGUAUUUUUCUCAUUGACAGGAUCCCCUCGGGUUCGAUAGAUUUAUCUUCAAGGAUUAGACCAUCUCCAAGGCAACUCUAUUUUUUUCUCUAUAAUUUACACAAAAAUAGAGUAACUCUAUUAUAGUGUAACUUUUGCUCCAAUGGUGUUACUCUAUAAGAGCAUCUCCAAAGGCACUCUAUUUUUUCCUCUAUAAUUUACACUAAAA
rnacentral:lncRNA from 1 species